AGCAGCCGCGGUAAUUCCAGCUCCAAUAGCGUAUAUUAAAGUUGCUGCAGUUAAAAAGCUCGUAGUUGAAUUUCGGGACCAUCAUGUCGGUCGUGCCUCGGUACGUACUGGCAUUGUUGGUUUCUCCCUUCUGACGAACCAUGAUGUCAUUUAUUUGGUGUUGUGGGGAAUCAGGACUGUUACUUUGAAAAAAUUAGAGUGUUUAAAGCAGGCUCACGCUUGAAUACAUUAGCAUGGAAUAAUGAAAUAGAACGUUUGAUUCUAUUUUGUUGGUUUCUAGGAUCGACGUAAUGAUUAAUAGGGAUAGUUGGGGGCAUUAGUAUUCAAUUGUCAGAGGUGAAAUUCUUGGAUUUAUUGAAGACUAACUACUGCGAAAGCAUCUGCCAAGGAUGUUUUCAUUAAUCAAGAACGAAAGUUAGGGGAUCGAAGACGAUCAGAUACCGUCGUAGUCUUAACCAUAAACUAUGCCGACUAGGGAUCGAAUGAUGUUAAUUUUUUAAUGACUCAUUCGGCGCCUUACG
rnacentral:rRNA from 1 species